UACGUAGGGGGCAAGCGUUGUCCGGAUUUAUUGGGCGUAAAGAGCUCGUAGGCGGCUCAGCAAGUCGGGUGUGAAACCUCCAGGCUCAACCUGGAGACGCCACUCGAUACUGCUGUGGCUAGAGUCCAGUAGGGGAGCGUGGAAUUCCUGGUGUAGCGGUGAAAUGCGCAGAUAUCAGGAGGAACACCAGUGGCGAAGGCGGUUCUCUGGGCAUUACCUGACGCUGAGGAGCGAAAGUGUGGGGAGCGAACAGG
rnacentral:rRNA from 1 species